rnacentral:lncRNA from 1 species
UCUGAUUUAUUCCAGUAAUAAAUGUAGAAAAGUGCACAAAUCUUAAGUACAUACCUUGACAGAUUUUUAAAAUAUUUUUGUUUUUUAGUUGUAGGUGGACACAAUACCUUUAUUUUAUUUUUAUGUGGUGCUAACGAUUGAACCCAGUGCUCCACACGUGCUAGGCAAGUGCUCUACGACUGAGCCAGAACCCCAGCCCCAUCUUGACAGAUUUUGACAAAGUGAAAACGUUAGGACAAUUAACAUACAUAUUAAGAAAUAGAACUUGAGCUGGAUAGAGUGACACAUUCCUGUAAUCCCAGUGGCUUGGGAGGCUAAGGCAGGAGGAUCAUAAAUUCAAAGCCAGCUUAAGUAACUUAGUGAGGCCCUGUCUCAAAAUAAAAAGUAAAAUAACAGAGGGGCUGGGGAUGCAGUUCAGUUGUUAAGUGUCCCUGAGUUCAAUUCCUGGAACCAAAAAGAAACAAAAAGAAAGAAAGAAAGAGAGAAAAAGAAAAAAAUAGAACCUAGCUUCUUUGUAGAAGCCACCUUAUACAUUAUCCCAGUCACUAUUCCACACCUUCUCCAAAUUUAUCACUAUAUAGACUUCUAAAAUCUAGAUUGGCCACCUUAUACAUUAUCCCAGUCACUAUUCCACACCUUCUCCAAAUUUAUCACUAUAUAGACUUCUAAAAUCUAGAUUGAUUGGUUUGACUUAGCUCUAUUUAAAUGGGAUGUUACAACAGUUACAUUCACUCAAUAUUAUAUUAUAUUUUUCAGGUUUAGUCACAUUGAGCACAACAGUAAUUCUGAUAAUUUCAUUCCAUUCCUUUCACUGUAUGAUUCUAAAACAAGUUUUCCUUUUUUAUGGAUAUUAUGAUUACUUCCAAAAGGGAAAUCACAAAUCUUAAUAAAAC